UACGUAGGGUGCGAGCGUUGUCCGGAAUUAUUGGGCGUAAAGAGCUCGUAGGCGGUUUGUCGCGUCGACUGUGAAAACCCGAGGCUUAACCUCGGGCCUGCAGUCGAUACGGGCAGACUAGAGUUCGGUAGGGGAGACUGGAAUUCCUGGUGUAGCGGUGAAAUGCGCAGAUAUCAGGAGGAACACCGGUGGCGAAGGCGGCUUCCUGGACCGACACUGACGCUGAGGCGCGAAAGCGUGGGGAGCAAACAGG
rnacentral:rRNA from 1 species